rnacentral:rRNA from 1 species
UACGUAGGGGGCUAGCGUUGUUCGGAAUCAUUGGGCGUAAAGGGCGCGUAGGCGGUGUCGUAAGUCUGGUGUGAAAUCCCCGAGCUUAACUCGGGUCCCGCGCCAGAGACUGCGAUGCUCGAGUGUGGGAGAGGAGAGUGGAAUUCCCGGUGUAGCGGUGAAAUGCGUAGAUAUCGGGGGGAACACCCGUGGCGAAGGCGGCUCUCUAGACCACUACUGACGCUGAGGCGCGAAAGCCGGGGGAGCAAACAGG